GACGAACGCUGGCGGCGUGCCUAAUACAUGCAAGUAGAACGCUGAAGGAGGAGCUUGCUCUUCUGGAUGAGUUGCGAACGGGUGAGUAACGCGUAGGUAACCUGCCUGGUAGCGGGGGAUAACUAUUGGAAACGAUAGCUAAUACCGCAUAAGAGUAGAUGUUGCAUGACAUUUGCUUAAAAGGUGCAAUUGCAUCACUACCAGAUGGACCUGCGUUGUAUUAGCUAGUUGGUGGGGUAACGGCCCACCAAGGCGACGAUACAUAGCCGACCUGGGAGGGGGAUCGGCCACACUGGGACUGAGACACGGCCCAGACUCCUACGGGAGGCAGCAGUAGGGAAUCUUCGGCAAUGGACGGAAGUCUGACCGAGCAACGCCGCGUGAGUGAAGAAGGUUUUCGGAUCGUAAAGCUCUGUUGUAAGAGAAGAACGAGUGUGAGAGUGGAAAGUUCACACUGUGACGGUAUCUUACCAGAAAGGGACGGCUAACUACGUG
rnacentral:rRNA from 1 species